rnacentral:rRNA from 1 species
UACGGAGGGAGCUAGCGUUGUUCGGAAUUACUGGGCGUAAAGCGCACGUAGGCGGCUUUCUAGGUCAGGGGUGAAAUCCCGGGGCUCAACCCCGGAACUGCCCUUGAAACUGGAUGGCUAGAAUCCUGGAGAGGCGAGUGGAAUUCCGAGUGUAGAGGUGAAAUUCGUAGAUAUUCGGAAGAACACCAGUGGCGAAGGCGACUCGCUGGACAGGUAUUGACGCUGAGGUGCGAAAGCGUGGGGAGCAAACAGG